GCAGGCUGAGCGGUGUGCCUGUCCUCCCCGUCCUGGCAGAACCAGCUGUCAGGGUACCUGCUGAGGAAGUUUAAGAACAGCAGCGGCUGGCAGAAGCUCUGGGUGGUCUUCACCAACUUCUGCCUCUUCUUCUACAAGACGCACCAGGACGACUACCCGCUGGCCAGCCUCCCUCUGCUGGGCUACAGCAUCAGCCGCCCCGAGGGGGCCGACGGCAUCCAAGAGCAGCGUGUCUUCAAGCUCCAGUUCAAGUCCCACGUGUACUUCUUCCGUGCAGAGAGCGAGUACGCACUGGAGAGGUGGAUGGAGGUGAUCUCAGGGCAAGCAGCACCGCUGGAAGGGAGUCCGGAGGGCCGAGUGCCAUGCCCACGCCCGCACCCGCAGAGCAGGCCUGCAGGAUGCCAGCCCCAGAGGACGACAGAGGGCCAGGCUGGCCAGCGUGCUGUGUCCAGGGCAGAGGGGGUACCCUUCACUCCGUAACUUCACGAAGCAGACAGACUGGCGUGGUGCACCCGACCCUUCUCAGGGCCUGACUGGGCCCAGAGCGGAUAAGCAGAGGUCUUGGGAGCCGAGGGUCUGGGAGCAAGGCUCCAAGAUGGACCCUCCCAAGCCCAGCCUGGCCAGGUGCACUUGGAGACAGCAGGACACCUGGGUCAGGGGCUUGGUUGGCAGCCGGCACCAGUCCUGCCUUCUGGGGGGCACUGGUUUUUGGGGACAGGGAGGGUCACACUAAUACAACACUUCCAAAUAAAACAUCUCCACAGAC